CCUACGGGUGGCAGCAGUGGGGAAUAUUGGGCAAUGGGCGCAAGCCUGACCCAGCAACGCCGCGUGAAUGAUGAAGGUUUUCGGAUUGUAAACUUCUGUCGCUAGGGACGAAGAAUGACGGUACCUCGGAAGAAAGCACCGGCUAACUACGUGCCAGCAGCCGCGGUAAUACGUAGGGGGCAAGCGUUGUCCGGAAUGACUGGGCGAAAAGGGAGUGUAGGCGGCUCAUCAAGUUAGAUGUGAAAUCCCGCGGUUUAACCGCGGAACUGCAUCUAAAACUGGUAAGCUGGAGUGCAGGAGGGGUGAGUAGAAUUCCAAGUGUAGCGGUGGAAUGCGUAGAUAUUAGGAGGAACACCAGAGGCGAAGGCGACUCACUGGACUGUAACUGACGCUGAGGCUCGAAAGCGUGGGGAGCAAACAGGAUUAGAUACCCCAGUAGUC
rnacentral:rRNA from 1 species